rnacentral:rRNA from 1 species
UACGUAGGGACCGAGCGUUGUCCGGAAUCAUUGGGCGUAAAGAGCGUGUAGGCGGCUAUUUAAGUCCUGCGUGAAAUCCUGCGGCUCAACCGCAGACGGUCGUGGGAAACUGGAUGGCUAGAGUGCGGGAGAGGAGAGUGGAAUUCCCGGUGUAGCGGUGAAAUGCGCAGAUAUCGGGAAGAACACCCGUGGCGAAGGCAGCUCGCUGGGACGGUACUGACGCUGAGGCGCGAAAGCGUGGGGAGCAAACAGG